rnacentral:tRNA from 1 species
UUGUUUUUAUUAAAAAGUAUUUCGGACUCAUAAUCGCUUGGUCGCUGGUUCAAACCCAGCAGGGGCCACCA